ACCCACUGAGCCACCCAGGCACCCCGAUCCUGGUGUAUUUUACCAAUUCCUCCUGUAUUUGACUUUAAACUAGUAUACUUUAAAUUACAUUUGAUAUAUACCUCUCUUUUCUUUAUAUUUUAUUUAUUGAAGGGUGCGGUCUGUUUACUCACGUGCAAGGCUAGCAGUGACAUCGGCAAGGCAUAGAUAUGACUGGUGGCCACUGCAGGUAGUAGGAUAAUCUUGGCUCCCUCUCUGAAGUGAGAGGGGAGGGAUUGGGAGCGCACUGUAGGAAAAGGAAGCUUACCCUUCUCUCCUGAGGUCACACAAUCCCUAUUAUCUCUGGUCCACUUAACUUUGCAAAUGUGACUAGGAGUCGCUGCUCCUCUUCUCUGGGCAUCUGCCCUUUCUGUUUCUGGUGAUGAACUGGCAAGAGGAGCAAGACAUCCCAGAACUCUGACACACAUAAAGGAUAACAUUGGGGUGGGUCUUGGUUCUGGGACAUAGUGGAAAAAGGACUUAUUGGUCAUGCAUCUUAAACUAUUUGGUAAAAAAAUGAUUCAUUGGAAAGUUCUGAUUUUCUCACAUGAGUCUUUGUCUUACCUAGGCCCUUAGCCUUGCUAACCAUUUGUUUGAAGUCAUCACUUACUGGACAGAAAGACCAUGUAGCCCCUGAGGCUUGAAGAAGAUGGUGGUGGAGGCUGAACACAUAUACCUGUAUUUUUAUUUCUGUGAAACUGACUCAACCAGAAAAUUCCUGUUCUCCCUUCUCUUUCCUCGAAAAACACAUACAUGCUCAUCCACCCCCACCCCACUGCUCUCACACACAUUCCGAGGAUAAAUUUGAGCAGAAGGAUAGCUGCUCAUAUUUUUUAAGCUUAAUUCAACAAUAUUAAUUCUGUUCAAUAAACUUAAUAAAAUGGAAAUAAAGUGGUUUCCUUUCUUCUUUAAGGAAGGAGAGAUUUAGGAAGCUGAGCAGAUCCCUGGAGUAUAUUAGUCAUGCCAUUUCAUUUCUGCAUUCAGGAUUCAGAUGGCAUGUCCAUGCAGCUCAUCAAACUCUACAGACAAGGGACACAACAUCUGGAUUGACCCAUAAAAGUCCAUGUCCCAGAUCAGAGCCUCUAGUAGAACAUUAUUCUCUCACACACACUUUUGGAGACAUUUCAAGGCAAAAAAUGAUUAAUAGUCCAUUGAUAUGAAUCUCCACUUGUGCUUGAUUUGACCUUUCAAGAUUUCUGGAUUUAAGAAUGAAGAAAUUUAGAUCAGAGAGCCAACUGGAUGGAAGAAUUUUGCUGCUUGAAGGGCUGGGAAGGGCUGAGAGGAUUUGGUUUCCCUCUGGAUUCACCACCUGGCUCGACGCAGCUGCACAAGUGAUCUAAGAUAUGCACUAAAGAAGUCACCAGUGUGAGUAAACCCACCAGUGGAGCUCACAAUCUAUACCAACAAGUGCAGAGUCCUCAUUGCGUCUGACAAGACCCUACCUGGGCCAGUCUUUUAGGGCUCCUCUCUAUUCCUCCCUGCAUCCAAUAUGGGACUGCAGCAACAUCAAACUGCUCUUGGUUUUCCGUGUACAUUGACUGGACUGCUUCAGCUGCCUCCCUCACACUGGAGCCCUACUCCCUUCCUACUAUUUGUUUGAGGCUUCAUUCACCCCAGGCCUCCUCUCGAUAAAUGGGUUUCCCUCAUCCCUCCACGCUGGCUCAUGCUUCCCUUUUCUGUUUGCUCCCGGCAGCCUGUGGAUCUUUAUCCGUCACCAGUCACACUGUCCUUAAUGUUUACAUAUCCUGACACCCUGUUCAGACUGGGAACUCAUAAGGAAUGAGGCUCAUUCCUCCUUAUACCCCCAAUCCCAGGGGCAUAUCCCUGCCAGAAUAGGGGGCCCAUUACAUGAUCAGUGAAUAGGGAGCUGCAGGACCAAAGCAGGAGUGAGAGAACAUGUAGAUGGGGCAGCUGUUGGACGAUGUGUGCACCCUGUUUCUCAAGGAGAAAAGGAGAUGGUGAGGAAUAAAUUUGGGGGCAGAAUAUCAGAGUAUGGAGUAAGAUAUGAAGCCACUGAAGGUAAAAGCCAAGUGAGAUAGAAAAGGGAGUUCAAAGAAGGAGGUACAGUCUGCAAUGGGUUUUGCUGGAGAAGCCAAGCAGUGCAGGGAAGCAAAGCCAGGUAAGAUUCAGUGUUCUGUGCCCUCAAAGAGCUUACAGUAUAUUAAGGUGGAUUAUAUAGGAACAUAAUCAGCCCCUCAGAAGAAGGCAGAAUAAAACUGAACACUACUGGGUAGCUUUACCCAAACUGUUAUGUUAUUUGAUGUUAAUAGAUGUUCUAUUUAAAAAAGAUUUCUUGGGGUACCUGGGUUGCUCAGCUGGUUAAGCAACUGCCUAUGGCUCAGAUCAUAAUCCUGGAGUCCUAGAAUUGAGUCCAUCAUUGGGCACCCUGUUGAGAGGAGAGUCUGCUUCUCCUACUGACCUCCCCCACCUCAUGCUCUCUCUCUCUUUCAGAUAAAUAAAGAAAAUCUUUUAAAAAAAUAGUUCUUUCAUCAAAAAUAGUUUGACAAUGCUGGGUUUGUUCCUGCAGACUUUUCAGAACUUUUGUGUGCUAAUGUGCACAACUCUUUCAAGAAGAUAGACCUUGCAGGGAUUUUGAAGCCUAUCUGUGAAUGGGUCCUUUAAAGGAAGUGAGUUGAGAAACACUUGGAGAUGACUCAAGGAUAUCUGUGCUUCUUCAAAUAUUGUUUGGGAAAUGCUACAGAGGAAGGAAUUCUAAGGGGGUGACACACUUUGGUUUGGAGGUUAAAAGCCUUCCUUCCUUUCACAUGCUUGCCUGUUUAGUGAAUGGCACUGAUGUCUUGCACUAGGUUUUGACCCCUCAGUGCCUGAUCCAGUUCUGGUCAUGGCAGGAGAAUAUGUGUAAACUCGGAACCACUGGGGAAACCCAGAGGCUGAUAUGUCACUGAAGCCUGGGGUGGCUUCCUCUAGAGCCCAGCUCUGUGUGCCCAGCAGGCACAUGUCAGCUUGGACCAGGACUCUUGUUUUGAUAAAUGUAAGUGCGUUGUCAGCCACAUCCUUUGCUUGCAUGCAUUCCCAUUUCUCUGCUAACUGGUAGGCUCAGGGCCAAGUUGUGUUAGAUGGUCCUGUCCUUUUGCCACAGCUAAGCAGACCAGGUGUGGACACCUCAUUUAAACUGAGUCGCUGUGUUUAGCCUUGGGACUUUGAAGAAGCAGCCUGGGGUCUUCAUCAGACAGUGUUGGCAAGGUUGCCAAAAGAAGAGCAAAGCUAAGCCCAGAUGGCACAGCAUCAAGGACCUGGGGGAGCUGCUGUUGUAGGUACAUGGAAACGAGGAGUCCAGUCCCAAGAAGAACUAUCUUCAUGCCCAAAUGAGGAGAACCAAGGUGAUUGAGAAAUAACCCAGCCCAGACUUCAAGGCGGGAGAUGAAGACGGCCUCAAGUGACUUUGAAUUGUUUCAAGGAAGAUUUUGACACUGGAUUCCUAAAUUCCUGUUAUGUUUCCCACUUGAGAUGCCAUUUCUGCAAGCUGUCUUGUCUAUCUAGCCACUUGGGAAUCUUUGAAUGGGAGCCACCCUAAAGAUUACAA